rnacentral:rRNA from 1 species
AUUGAACGCUGGCGGCAGGACUAACACAUGCAAGUCGAACGAGAGGCGGACGGGUGAGUAAUGUCUGGGAAACUGCCCGAUGGAGGGGGAUAACUACUGGAAACGGUAGCUAAUACCGCAUACAAUCGGAUGUGCCCAGAUGGGAUUAGCUAGUAGGUGGGGUAACGGCGCACCUAGGCGACGAUCCCUAGCUGGUCGGAGAGGAUGACCAACCAAACUGGACCUGAGACACGGUCCAGCUUCCUACGUGAUGCAGCAGUGGGGAAUAUUGGACAAUGGGCGCAAGACUGAUGCAGCCAUGCCGCGUGUAUGAAGAAGGCCUUCGGGUUGUAAAGUACGUUCAGCGGGGAGGCGUUACCCGCAGAAGAAGCACCGGCUAACUCCGUGCCAGCCGCCGCGGUAAUUC